GUUCCACAUUGUGGUCACUAGCAAGAGAUUUCGAUCCGCCUGUCCUCACUUGGCUCGUCGGUUCUUGGUUGAGGUCCAACUGAGCCACGGAUCCUAGAGAAUUUAAGUCCUCAUCCAGCUCAACACAUCCUGGUUUACUCGCGAAUUUAGGCACAAUCCCAUCAUUGAGCCAGUGCAGAUUCAAACUGUUCCUGUAUGCCUCCGAGAUGAUCCCCUCUUCCACCAGACCCUCCAGCAGAGCGUGAACCUCGCCGGGCAGGGCCACGGAGGCGUUUCAAAUCGAGUGGGGUGGUGCUUCGUGGUUGGAGUGGGAGGUCUGCUUCAGAACCGACGGGAAUGCAUGCACCAGACUGGAGGUGGCUACAUCAUACUCGCCAGGGACUUUCACACAAUGCAAGAGGAUGUAGUCUGGGGUACCACUUCCCUUAAAUAUUCAAUCUCCAGAUAUAACCUGCUAUGUAAGCUGUGGAUUUUAUACACAUAUUU